rnacentral:lncRNA from 1 species
GCUCUGAUACCACCCAUUGUAGCGUCCCUAAAUAAUGACUGGUUUAAUAGUAAUAAAUCAAAUCGCAGAAACCAUGGGAAAUUUUUUUUUUCUUUUCUCUCUCUCUUUUUUUUCGCACUGUUAUUCAUUUCCCGGUAAUUAAAUUCAAAAGGAAAAUUAUCACUAUAGAGUCUUGAAUGGCCAGUUCACAACUCUAUUCGGAUUCAUUUCUUUUUGAACUCAUAACCUCCAAACUAUUUUUCUCUUUCAAAAAUAUACCAGCCAUCAUUUUAGGUCGUCACGUGAAAAAUAAUAAGGUGCGGUCGGUAAACUCUUUUCAAUUAAAAUUCGUUAACAUUUCCUUUUCAAAUAACAAGAUAAAACAUAAUUGUUUUUAUCAUCUAAAACUGUCCAAAAUAUGGGAGUUUGCAAAAUAACAUAGUGACAUCCAGAGCAAAGGUAACAACUGUGGUGACUUCAGCCACAAUAUAUACAAUCAUCAAAAAUUCUAUACAAUA